UCCUCUUAUACCUCAUUUUUCUUUUUCUUUUCUUCUUAAUUUCCGUCUUCUUUCCCUUUUUAUUUUCAUUUCUUAAUUUUCUUUCUUCUGUCAAAAACCCAUUUGCAUCUUAAAAUGCCCAUUUGCCUUCUUCUUUUGCCUCUCUUUACAGUCUUCAUCACUGAAGAAGAUGAAGCAAUCCUAAUUUCUCUAAUCCAUUUCAUUGUUUCAUUCCUCCUUAACCCCAAACCUACAAAAUCCCAUCACAACAAAACCCCCAAAGCACAAGCUUUAAACCCCAUUAUCCACACCUUAUCAGUGCAAACACAAAAAAGAUGAACCCUAACAUCCCAAAAAGCAAAUCACUACUUAUCUCUUUCCUAAACAAGCAAAGAAUACAAUACCUUAAAAUUACUAAGAACCCUAAAAUUUUCUUGUCGUUUAUUCUUCGAGUUGUUGGUUUUUUCCAUCAUUUAAAUAUUACUUCCUUGAAGUCGUUCAAAAACUUAAGCCCUCAUUCAUAUGCAACAACUAAAAUUUGAAUGAUCAGAUCCAACGGUUGAAUUAAGAUCUUGAGAUUCGAAGCCAAAAUUGAGACCAACUCAAGUGCGAGCUUAGUUGAUCCGUGAGACCCAUUUCUUCUUUUGCUUAUUUUUCGCGCAAAUAAUUGGUUUUUGGAUCUGGGUUUUGGGUGAAAGAACAGAAGAAAUAGUGAAAAUGGGAGAUUUCCAUGAACAAUUGAAAGUUUGAAGAGAAAUGGUGGAUUCGAGAAAUGGGUUUAAGCAAAUAUUGGUGUUGUAGUGAAGGAUUUGGGAUUUGAAUUGAAUGCUCUUCUCUAUCGUUCUUGAAAAUGGAUUUGUAAAACAAGAAAAAACAAAAAACAAAAUGAAAAUUUGAAAAAUAAAAUGGAACUUAUAAAGUUAAUAUUUUAUAUUGAUUUUCGAUUUUUUUUUGAGAUAAAAAGGAGGAAGAAUUUAUGGCGGAUGAGCGAUUGAGCUCCAUCAUGAAUUUUUUUCUCCUUUUUUUUCAAACUUUAUGUGGCUUAUUAAAGCCCUAUUAUUUGUAUGAUAAUUCAAAAGCU
rnacentral:lncRNA from 1 species